rnacentral:lncRNA from 13 species
GGCGCAGCGAGCCGGGCUCCUGCUGUCUGCUCUCGGCGGCGGCGGCAGGGGCUGAGGGCACAGCCAGCGGGCGGCGCGCCGCGGACUCCCAGGCAGCCCGCCGAAAGGUAUAAGGAACACUUUCUCUCAACCAUCGACAUUUUAAAGAAGAUGAAGCUUUGGAAAGGUCUUUAGACAUAGCCGGGAGCUUUGUUCACACUCCCGACAUUGCUGUCCGGUAAGUUUUUUGCAGUGAUUGAAAUCUUAUGCAAGGUUGGAUUGUUUGGCUUUUAGAGCCACACUAGCCAAUCAAUAUGGUCGCCACAGUCACAUGUGGCUAUUGAGUGGUGACUUGAAAUGUGGCUAGUUUGACUCAGGCAGUGAGUUUUAAGUUGUAUUUAAUUUUAAUUGAGUUGAAAUGAGAUCCUGAAAUAGAUUGAGACACAAAUGUUCUUGGACUUCAUUUGCAGUGAGUAGCAUAGGGAUUUGGGGUUAGAAUCUGUAUCAUGAAUAUCAAUUUCUCUGUUGAAAUUAAAUCCUGGCUGCAUUGGUGCAAAGUAGCAUGGGUUGAUAAUUCUAAUUAUAUCUCCC